UCCGAAUUGGUGUAACGGCUAACAUUCUUGAUUCUCACUCAAGAGCUCAGGGUUCGAUUCCCUGAUUCGGAG